GGGGAAUAUUGCACAAUGGGGGAAACCCUGAUGCAGCAACGCCGCGUGAGUGAUGACGGUCUUCGGAUUGUAAAACUCUGUCUUCAGGGACGAUAAUGACGGUACCUGAGGAGGAAGCCACGGCUAACUACGUGCCAGCAGCCGCGGUAAUACGUAGGUGGCAAGCGUUGUCCGGAUUUACUGGGCGUAAAGGGAGCGUAGGUGGAUAUUUAAGUGGGAUGUGAAAUACUCGGGCUUAACCUGGGUGCUGCAUUCCAAACUGGAUAUCUAGAGUGCAGGAGAGGAAAGUAGAAUUCCUAGUGUAGCGGUGAAAUGCGUAGAGAUUAGGAAGAAUACCAGUGGCGAAGGCGACUUUCUGGACUGUAACUGACACUGAGGCUCGAAAGCGUGGGGAGCAAAC
rnacentral:rRNA from 1 species